rnacentral:rRNA from 1 species
GACGAACGCUGGCGGCGUGCUUAACACAUGCAAGUCGAACGGAAAGGCCCUGCUUUUGUGGGGUGCUCGAGUGGCGAACGGGUGAGUAACACGUGAGUAACCUGCCCUUGACUUUGGGAUAACUUCAGGAAACUGGGGCUAAUACCGGAUAGGAGCUCCUGCUGCAUGGUGGGGGUUGGAAAGUUUCGGCGGUUGGGGAUGGACUCGCGGCUUAUCAGCUUGUUGGUGGGGUAGUGGCUUACCAAGGCUUUGACGGGUAGCCGGCCUGAGAGGGUGACCGGCCACAUUGGGACUGAGAUACGGCCCAGACUCCUACGGGAGGCAGCAGUGGGGAAUAUUGCACAAUGGGCGGAGGCCUGAUGCAGCAACGCCGCGUGCGGGAUGACGGCCUUCGGGUUGUAACCCGCUUUCGCCUGUGACGAAGCGUGAGGGACGAUAAUGGGUAAAGAAGCACCGGCUAACUACGU